CUUUUUUCAAUUUCUGUUUACUGUUAAAAUCUGUUUUCCUUCAGGUAGUGGUUACUACAGUAGAGGUGGUUUCAGGUAAUGGUUACUAGAGUAGAGGUUGUUUCAGGUAGUGGUUACUAGAGUAGAGGUUGUUUCAGGUAGUGGUUACUACAGUAGAGGUUGUUUCAGGUAGUGGUUACUACAGUAGAGGUGGUUUCAGGUAGUGGUUACUACAGUAGAGGUGGUUUCAGGUAGUGGUUACUACAGUAGAGGUGGUUUCAGGUAGUGGUUACUACAGUAGAGGUGGUUUCAGGUAGUGGUUACUAGAGUAGAGGUGGUUUCAGGUAGUGGUUACUACAGUAGAGGUUGUUUCAGGUAGUGGUCACUAGAGUAGAGGUGGUUUCAGGUAGAGGUUACUACAGUAGAGGUGGUUUCAGGUAGUGGUUACUACAGUGGAGGCGGUUUCAGGUAGCGGUUACUACAGUAGAGGUGGUUUCAGGUAGUGGUUACUAGAGUAGAGGUGGUUUCAGGUAGUGGUUACUACAGUAGAGGCGGUUUCAGGUAGUGGUUACUACAGUAGAGGCGGUUACUAGAGUAGAGGUGGUUUCAGGUAGUGGUUACUACAGUAGAGGUGGUUUCAGGUAGUGGUUACUACAGUAGAGGUGGUUACUACAGUAGAGGCGGUUUCAGGUAGUGGUUACUACAGUAGAGGCGGUUUCAGGUAGUGGUUACUACAGUGGAGGCAGUUUCAGGUAGUGGUUACUAGAGUAGAGGUGGUUUCAGGUAGUGGUUACUAGAGUAGAGGUGGUUUCAGGUAGUGGUUACUACAGUAGAGGUGGUUUCAGGUAGUGGUUACUACAGUAGAGGUGGUUUCAGGUAGUGGUUACUACAGUAGAGGUGGUUACUACAGUAGAGGUGGUUUCAGGUAGUGGUUACUAGAGUAGAGGUGGUUUCAGGUAGUGGUUACUAGAGUAGAGGUGGUUUCAGGUAGUGGUUACUACAGUAGAGGUUGUUUCAGGUAGUGGUUACUACAGUAGAGGUGGUUUCAGGUAGUGGUUACUACAGUAGAGGCGGUUUCAGGUAGUGGUUACUACAGUAGAGGCGGUUUCAGGUAGUGGUUACUACAGUAGAGGCGGUUUCAGGUAGUGGUUACUACAGUAGAGGUGGUUUCAGGUAGCGGUUACUACAGUAGAGGUGGUUUCAGGUAGUGGUUACUACAGUGGAGGCGGUUUCAGGUAGUGGUUACUACAGUAGAGGUGGUUUCAGGUAGUGGUUACUACAGUAGAGGCGGUUUCAGGUAGUGGUUACUACAGUAGAGGUGGUUUCAGGUAGCGGUUACUACAGUAGAGGUGGUUUCAGGUAGUGGUUACUACAGUGGAGGCGGUUUCAGGUAGCGGUUACUACAGUGGAGGUGGUUUCAGGUAGUGGUUACUACAGUAGAGGUGGUUUCAGGUAGUAGUUACUACAGUAGAGGUGGUUUCAGGUAGUGGUUACUACAGUGGAGGCGGUUUCAGGUAGCGGUUACUAGAGUAGAGGUGGUUUCAGGUAGUGGUUACUACAGUAGAGGUGGUUUCAGGUAGUGGUUACUACAGUAGAGGUGGUUUCAGGUAGUGGUUACUACAGUAGAGGUGGUUUCAGGUAGUGGUUACUAGAGUAGAGGUGGUUACUACAGUAGAGGUGGUUUCAGGUAGUGGUUACUAUAGUAGAGGUGGUUUCAGGUAGUGGUUACUACAGUAGAGGUGGUUACUAGAGUAGAGGUGGUUUCAGGUAGUGGUUACUAGAGUAGAGGUGGUUUCAGGUAGUGGUUACUACAGUAGAGGUGGUUACUACAGUAGAGGCGGUUUCAGGUAGUGGUUACUACAGUAGAGGCGGUUUCAGGUAGUGGUUACUACAGUAGAGGUGGUUUCAGGUAGUGGUUACUACAGUAGAGGUGGUUUCAGGUAGUGGUUACUACAGUAGAGGUGGUUACUACAGUAGAGGCGGUUUCAGGUAGUGGUUACUACAGUAGAGGCGGUUUCAGGUCGUGGUUACUACAGUAGAGGUGGUUUCAGGUAGUGGUUACUACAGUAGAGGUGGUUUCAGGUAGUGGUUACUACAGUAGAGGUGGUUUCAGGUAGUGGUUACUACAGUAGAGGCGGUUACUACAGUGGAGGCAGUUUGAGGUAGAGGUGGUUACUACAGUAGAGGUGGUUUCAGGUAGUGGUUACUACAGUAGAGGUGGUUUCAGGUAGUGGUUACUACAGUAGAGGUGGUUUCAGGUAGUGGUUACUACAGUAGAGGUGGUUUCAGGUAGAGGUUACUACAGUAGAGGUGGUUUCAGGUAGUGGUUACUAGAGUAGAGGUGGUUUCAGGUAGAGGUUACUACAGUAGAGGUGGUUUCAGGUAGUGGUUACUACAGUAGAGGUGGUUUCAGGUAGUGGCUACUACAGUAGAGGUGGUUUUAGGUAGUGGUUACUACAGUAGAGGCGGUUUCAGGUAGUGGUUACUACAGUAGAGGUGGUUACUAGAGUAGAGGUGGUUUCAGGUAGUGGUUACUAGAGUAGAGGUGGUUUCAGGUAGUGGUUACUACAGUAGAGGUGGUUACUAAAGUAGAGGCGGUUUCAGGUAGUGGUUACUACAGUAGAGGUGGUUUCAGGUAGUGGUUACUACAGUAGAGGCGGUUUCAGGUAGUGGUUACUACAGUAGAGGUGGUUUCAGGUAGCGGUUACUACAGUAGAGGCGGUUACUACAGUAGAGGCGGUUUCAGGUAGUGGUUACUAGAGUAGAGGUGGUUUCAGGUAGUGGUUACUAGAGUAGAGGUGGUUUCAGGUAGUGGUUACUACAGUAGAGGUGGUUUCAGUUAGUGGUUACUACAGUAGAGGUGGUUUCAGGUAGUGGUUACUACAGUGGAGGCGGUUUCAGGUAGUGGUUACUACAGUAGAGGCGGUUACUACAGUAGAGGCGGUUUCAGGUAGUGGUUACUAGAGUAGAGGUGGUUUCAGGUAGUGGUUACUACAGUAGAGGCGGUUACUACAGUAGAGGUGGUUUCAGGUAGUGGUUACUACAGUGGAGGCGGUUACUACAGUAGAGGCGGUUUCAGGUAGUGGUUACUACAGUAGAGGUGGUUUCAGGUAGUGGUUACUACAGUAGAGGCGGUUACUACAGUAGAGGCGGUUUCAGGUAGUGGUUACUACAGUAGAGGCGGUUACUACAGUAGAGGCGGUUUCAGGUAGUGGUUACUACAGUAGAGGUGGUUUCAGGUAGUGGUUACUACAGUAGAGGCGGUUACUACAGUGGAGGCGGUUUGAGGUAGUGGUUACUACAGUGGAGGUGGUUUCAGGUAGUGGUUACUACAGUAGAGGCGGUUUCAGGUAGUGGUUACUACAGUAGAGGCGGUUUCAGGUAGUGGUUACUACAGUAGAGGCGGUUUCAGGUAGUGGUUACUACAGUAGAGGCGGUUUCAGGUAGUGGUUACUACAGUAGAGGCGGUUUCAGGUAGUGGUUACUACAGUAGAGGUGGUUUCAGGUAGUGGUUACUACAGUAGAGGUGGUUUCAGGUAGUGGUUACUAGAGUAGAGGUGGUUUCAGGUAGUGGUUACUACAGUAGAGGUGGUUACUACAGUAGAGGUGGUUUCAGGUAGUGGUUACUACAGUAGAGGCGGUUUCAGGUAGUGGUUACUACAGUAGAGGUGGUUUCAGGUAGUGGUUACUAUAGUAGAGGUGGUUUCAGGUAGUGGUUACUACAGUAGAGGUGGUUUCAGGUAGUGGUUACUACAGUAGAGGUGGUUUCAGGUAGUGGUUACUACAGUAGAGGUGGUUUCAGGUAGUGGUUACUACAGUAGAGGUGGUUUCAGGUAGUGGUUACUACAGUAGAGGUGGUUUCAGGUAGUGAUUACUACAGUGGAGGCGGUUUCAGGUAGUGGUUACUACAGUAGAGGCGGUUUCAGGUAGUGGUUACUACAGUAGAGGCGGUUUCAGGUAGUGGUUACUACAGUAGAGGCGGUUUCAGGUAGUGGUUACUACAGUAGUGGCGGUUUCAGGUAGUGGUUACUACAGUAGAGGCGGUUUCAGGUAGUGGUUACUACAGUAGAGGCGGUUUCAGGUAGUGGUUACUACAGUAGAGGUGGUUACUACAGUGGAGGCGGUUUCAGGUAGUGGUUACUACAGUAGAGGUGGUUUCAGUUAGUGGUUACUACAGUAGAGGUGGUUUCAGGUAGUUGUUACUACAGUAGAGGUGGUUUCAGGUAGCGGUUACUGCAGUGGAGGCGGUUUCAGGUAGCGGUUACUACAGUAGAGGUGGUUUCCGGUAGUGGUUACUACAGUAGAGGCGGUUUCAGAUAGUGGUUACUACAGUAGAGGUGGUUUCAGGUAGUUGUUACUACAGUAGAGGUGGUUUCAGUUAGUGGUUACUACAGUAGAGGUGGUUUCAGGUAGUUGUUACUACAGUAGAGGUGGUUUCAGGUAGCGGUUACUGCAGUGGAGGCGGUUUCAGGUAGUGGUUACUACAGUAGAGGUGGUUUCAGAUAGUGGUUACUACAGUAGAGGCGGUUUCAGGUAGUGGUUACUACAGUAGAGGCGGUUUCAGGUAGUGGUUACUACAGUAGAGGUGGUUACUACAGUAGAGGCGGUUUCAGGUAGUGGUUACUACAGUAGAGGUGGUUUCAGGUAGUGGUUACUACAGUAGAGGCGGUUACUAGAGUAGAGGUGGUUUCAGGUAGUGGUUACUACAGUAGAGGUGGUUUCAGGUAGUGGUUACUACAGUAGAGGUGGUUUCAGGUAGUGGUUACUACAGUAGAGGUGGUUUCAGGUAGUGGUCACUAGAGUAGAGGUUGUUUCAGAUAGUGGUUACUAGAGUAGAGGUGGUUUCAGGUAGAGGUUACUACAGUAGAGGUGGUUUCAGGUAGCGGUUACUACAGUGGAGGCGGUUUCAGGUAGUGGUUACUACAGUAGAGGUUGUUUCAGGUAGUGGUUACUACAGUAGAGGUGGUUACUAGAGUAGAGGUGGUUUCAGGUAGUGGUUACUACAGUGGAGGCGGUUUCAGGUAGUGGUUACUACAGUAGAGGUGGUUUCAGGUAGUGGUUACUACAGUAGAGGUGGUUUCAGGUAGUGGUUACUACAGUAGAGGUGGUUUCAGGUAGUGGUCACUAGAGUAGAGGUUGUUUCAGAUAGUGGUCACUAGAGUAGAGGUGGUUUCAGGUAGAGGUUACUACAGUAGAGGUGGUUACUAAAGUAGAGGUGGUUUCAGGUAGCGGUUACUACAGUAGAGGUGGUUACUACAGUGGAGGUGGUUUCAGGUAGUGGUUACUACAGUAGAGGUGGUUACUACAGUAGAGGUGGUUUCAGGUAGUGGUUACUACAGUAGAGGCGGUUUCAGGUAGUGGGUACUACAGUAGAGGCGGUUUCAGGUAGUGGUUACUACAGUAGAGGUGGUUUCAGGUAGUGGUUACUACAGUAGAGGUGGUUUCAGGUAGUGGUUACUACAGUAGAGGUAGGUCAUUACCAUAAGGUGAAUGCACCAAUUUGUAAGUCGCUCUGGAUAAGAGCGUCUGCUAAAUGACUUAAAUGUAAAUGUAAAAUUACCACUCUUUUCAACAUCCAUUAUCUUUUCAUUAUCCAUUAUUUUCUUCUAAGUAGUCAUUCCUCAUUAAUACCUUGUCAGUCAGUCAUCCAUCUAUCAUCUGUCCAUUCAGACAUCCUUAAUCUAUCUGUCAGUCAGUCAUCCAUCUAUCAUCUGUCCAUUCAGACAUCCUUAAUCUAUCCGUCAAUCAGUCAUCCAUCUAUCAUCCGUCCAUUCAGACAUCCAUAAUCUAUUCGUCAUUCAUCCAUCUAUCAUCCGUCCAUUCAGACAUCCUUAAUCUAUCCGUCAUUCAUCCAUCUAUCUACCGUUUAAUCCUCCUCUUCUCCUCCUCUCCCCCUCCUCCUCCUCCUCCUCCCCCUCCUCCUCCUCUACUC